rnacentral:rRNA from 1 species
AACUGUUGCCUCGGCGGGGUCACGCCCCGGGUGCGUCGCAGCCCCGGAACCAGGCGCCCGCCGGAGGGACCAACCAAACUCUUUCUGUAGUCCCCUCGCGGACGUUAUUUCUUACAGCUCUGAGCAAAAAUUCAAAAUGAAUCAAAACUUUCAACAACGGAUCUCUUGGUUCUGGCAUCGAUGAAGAACGCAGCGAAAUGCGAUAAGUAAUGUGAAUUGCAGAAUUCAGUGAAUCAUCGAAUCUUUGAACGCACAUUGCGCCCGCCAGUAUUCUGGCGGGCAUGCCUGUCCGAGCGUCAUUUCAACCCUCGAACCCCUCCGGGGGUCCGGCGUUGGGGAUCGGGAACCCCUAAGACGGGAUCCCGGCCCCGAAAUACAGUGGCGGUCUCGCCGCAGCCUCUCAUGCGCAGUAGUUUGCACAACUCGCACCGGGAGCGCGGCGCGUCCACGUCCGUAAAACACCCAACUUCUGAAAUGUUGACCUCGGAUCAGGUAGGAAUACCCGCUGAACUUAAGCAUAUCAAUAAGCGGAGGA